rnacentral:rRNA from 1 species
UACGUAGGGUGCGAGCGUUAAUCGGAAUUACUGGGCGUAAAGCGUGCGCAGGCGGUUCGUUGUGUCGGCGGUGAAAGCCCCGGGCUUAACCUGGGAAUGGCCGUCGAAACUGGCGAACUGGAGUGUGGCAGAGGGGGGUGGAAUUCCGCGUGUAGCAGUGAAAUGCGUGGAGAUGCGGAGGAACACCGAUGGCGAAGGCAGCCCCCUGGGCUGACACUGACGCUCAGGCACGAAAGCGUGGGGAGCAAACAGG